rnacentral:rRNA from 1 species
GACGAACGCUGGCGGCGUGCUUAACACAUGCAAGUCGAACGAAGUGGCGAACGGGUGAGUAACGCGUAAUCAACCUGCCCUUCAGAGGGGGACAACAGUUGGAAACGACUGCUAAUACCGCAUACAGACGGGGGGGAUUGCGUCUGAUUCGCUAGUUGGAGGGGUCACGGCCCAACAAGGCGAUGAUGAGUAGCCGGUCUGAGAGGUGGAACGGCCACAUUGGGACUGGGACACGGCCCAGACUCCUACGGGAGGCAGCAGUGGGGAAGCUUCCGCAAUGGACGAAAGUCUGACGAAGCAACGCCGCGUGAGUGAUGACGGCCUUCGGGUUGGAAAGCGCUGUUAAUCGGGACGCGGUACCGGAAUAGAAAGCCACGGCUAACUACGUGCCAGCCGCCGCGGUAAUUC